rnacentral:rRNA from 1 species
UACGAAGGGGGCGAGCGUUAUUCGGAAUCACUGGGCGUAAAGCGUGCGUAGGCUGUUCUGUAAGUUGGAAGUGAAAGCCCGGGGCUCAACCCCGGAAUUGCUUUCAAAACUACAGGACUCGAGUCCGGGAGAGGAUAGCGGAAUUUCCAGUGUAGUAGUGAAAUACGUAGAUAUUGGAAGGAACACCAGUGGCGCAAGCGGCUAUCUGGACCGGUACUGACGCUGAGGCACGAAAGCGUGGGGAUCAAACAGG